rnacentral:rRNA from 1 species
UAGGGAAUCUUCGGCAAUGGGGGCAACCCUGACCGAGCAACGCCGCGUGAGUGAAGAAGGUUUUCGGAUCGUAAAGCUCUGUUGUAAGAGAAGAACGUGUGUGAGAGUGGAAAGUUCACACAGUGACGGUAACUUACCAGAAAGGGACGGCUAACUACGUGCCAGCAGCCGCGGUAAUACGUAGGUCCCGAGCGUUGUCCGGAUUUAUUGGGCGUAAAGCGAGCGCAGGCGGUUUAAUAGGUCUGAAGUUAAAGGCAGUGGCUUAACCAUUGUUCGCUUUGGAAACUAUUAAACUUGAGUGCAGAAGGUGAGAGUGGAAUUCCAUGUGUAGCGGUGAAAUGCGUAGAUAUAUGGAGGAACACCGGUGGCGAAAGCGGCUCUCUGGUCUGUAACUGACGCUGAGGCUCGAAAGCGUGGGGAGCAAACAGG